GGUAACCCACUGGGUCACCUACCACAGGGUGGAAGCUUUGUUCUUUUGCUCUUUGCAAUAAGUCUUGCUGCUGCUCACUUUUUGGGUCCACAGUGCCUUUAUGAGCUGUAAUACUCACUGCGAAGGUCUACAGCUUCACUCCUGAGGCCAGCGAGACCAUGAGCCCACCAGCAGGAAUGAACAACUCCGGACGGGAGGAAGAAACAACUCCAGAUGCGCUGCCUUAAGAGCUGUAACACUCACCUUGAAGGUUUGCAGCUUCACUCUUGAAGCCAACGAGACCACGAACCCACCAGAAGGAAGAAACUCCGAACAUGAUCAGAAGGAACAAACUCCAGACACAUCACCUUUAAGAACUGUAACGCUCACCACGAGGGUCUGCAGCUUCAUUCUUGAAAUCUAGCACGGAUGGAGCCCUGAAGUUUCUGAGGCUCCCCAAAGGAAUUAAAAGCUUGGUAGAAAAGGGUGGAAUGCCCAGGGGCCAGCAAUGAUGAGAUGGAGAGAGACUUGCUGGGAUGGAUGCUGGGGGUGACUGCCCAACCAGAGACCAAAGGAAGGCAGCGUUUACAAAGCCAAACCUUGGAGCUCUGCACAGCACCUAGGCCAAAAGCAAUCAACAGCCCAAGCCCACACAACAGCACAUUAGAAAACAUGCCAGCUUCCCUCACAUCACGAAGUCAAAGAAACGAAAACCGCAAGGCUGAAUUGCGCAAUGCCUAGAACACGAGAAAGAAACAAAAUGGAAAGAAGAAACUCAUUUAAAGGGCAAGUAAUUAUUGACAAUUAUACACGAUUGAGAGAUAAGCUUCAAUUUUAAUACAAAAUAUAGCCAAACUUGUUUCUUGAACUUGCAUAAACGCACUCAUCAGACACCUUAAGGAAGUCAAGACUUACUGUUGAAUCCUACCUUCAUUGGCUUGUAGGAACACUGACAUGAACUCUGAUCAUCUACACACUGAUGAUAUCCUAGAUAGAACAGCAGUCAGCAAAUGUUUUCUGUAAAAAGCCAAAUAGAAAAUAUUUUAGACUUUGUGAGCCAUGCAGCCUCUGUCACAACUACUCAAUUCUCUGUUGUACAAUAAAUAUGUGAAUGAGAAUAGUUGUUCCAAUAAAACUUUAUUUAUAAAAAUAAGUGGUGGGCCUUAGUUUGCCAACCUCUGCCCUAG
rnacentral:lncRNA from 1 species